rnacentral:rRNA from 1 species
GAGAAAACAAAAACCUUCUAGUGGAGAGUGCUGGAGGAGCCAUGGAGGAGUGCGUAUACUGCGGGAAGGCCAGCGCUUAGUUGCGCGGCGUCUGCGGGUGCUUCGCCGGGAGCCUCUGCUACAGGUGCUCUGCACGUAGAACACACACACAGUGGAGACACGUAUGCACGUUUUUCUGGGUGCACGAGUGCUUUGGGCCGGCGACGGUCCAGAGUGCGGCACGCAAAACACAAACAAAAAUGCAGUAUCAAAGAAGACAGUCAAGAUUUUAAGCCUGGACAGCACGAGAGUGCGGGCCGGCGAUUAGAACAAAUAUUCA